CACUUAUAAGGACCAGAAGCCAAGUCUCUUAACCGCUCAUCACUUAUGUUGUUAGCUGGAUUGAGAACCUAAAAAAUACACAAAAUAGACCUAUGAUCUAUAUAGUUAUGUAUAAAUUAUAAUUUGAUGUAGAUAAAUAAAAAUAGGAACUUCUUCAUACUAUAGUAUUUUACUCACAUAAGCUUCGAACCAGUUGGCAAAUCUACUAUUCGUCUCUUUAUCAAUUUCCUCGAGACUGAUAUUUUCUGAAUUUCUUUUCAAUUCAGCUUCAAAGAUACUA
rnacentral:lncRNA from 1 species